UACGGGGGGAGCAAGCGUUGUUCGGAUUUACUGGGCGUAAAGGGCGCGUAGGCGGCCUCCGCAAGUCAGUUGUGAAAUCUCCGGGCUUAACUCGGAAAGGUCAACUGAUACUGCGGGGCUAGAGUGCGGAAGGGGCAACUGGAAUUCUUGGUGUAGCGGUGAAAUGCGUAGAUAUCAAGAGGAACACCUGAGGCGAAGGCGGGUUGCUGGGCCAACACUGACGCUGAGGCGCGAAAGCCAGGGGAGCAAACGGG
rnacentral:rRNA from 1 species